rnacentral:rRNA from 1 species
GACGAACGCUGGCGGCGUGCUUAACACAUGCAAGUCGAACGGUGAAGCGCCUUCCUUUUUGGUGGGUGUGGAUGAGUGGCGAACGGGUGAGUAACACGUGAGUAACCUGCCCCCUUCUUCUGGAUAACCGCAUGAAAGUGUGGCUAAUACGGGAUAUUCUGGGUCUGUCGCAUGAUGGGUCUGUGAAAGAUAUUGUUUCGGUGGGGGAUGGGCUCGCGGCCUAUCAGCUUGUUGGUGGGGUGAUGGCCUACCAAGGCGGUGACGGGUAGCCGGCCUGAGAGGGUGGACGGUCACACUGGGACUGAGACACGGCCCAGACUACUACGGGAGGCAGCAGUGGGGAAUAUUGCACAAUGGGCGCAAGCCUGAUGCAGCGACGCCGCGUGAGGGAUGGAGGCCUUCGGGUUGUGAACCUCUUUCGCCAGUGAAGCAGGCCUGCCUCGUUUGUGGGUGGGUUGACGGUAGCUGGAUAAGAAGCGCCGGCUAACUACGUG